UUCCACACUCCACCAGACAAACAGGUGCUAUCUAUCAGCUGUAGUUUAUUUCCAUACAAUGACAAAAGGUAAAUAUUUAUCCACACGGUAAGGCAAGACUAUAGAAUGAGAGCCACUUGAUCAUUAUCAUAGCGUCAGUAUUUGAAAUCUUUAAAGAUGGAUAGCAUUCUAAGGCCUUUGAAUUCCCCGUUUCUUAGCUCUCUCUCUCUCUCUCUCUCUCUCUCACACACACACCUCAUUAUAUCACCAUGUUAUGAUCAUUACAGCAUUCUACUCAUGGUUUUAUGUGUUGUAGCACAGUCACAAGUUGGUGUCCAACAUUUAGUUAUACUUGUAGCAUGCUCCACGCAGCCAUGAUGGAACUUAUACAUCAGCAUUACUCAAUAGUUCUCUAAAGUUCCCACAAUUUAUUAUUACUGGUAUACUUUGCUUCUGAGCAGAAGUUCUUCCUACGUAACUUUGAAGUUCGUAUAAGACUGAUGAAACAUGGCUUUAUUAGAGUAAACUAGAGAUGCACACAACUUCUUGUGGCUUGUCAACCGAUGUAUAGCUCUGGACACUCGCCGGCUUCGUUUUAAGGCAAGUCAAUACUUAACUAAGCAAUAUAACAGAGGAGAAAGGAAUCUGUCGUCCUCCUAUCCAGUGAAUCUCUCUCUGCAUACAAACUGGGAGCUACUUCCAUUAUUGGAUUUCAAGCAGGGACUUGUAGUCGAUUUUAGGUUCUGUGUGAUCAUGUUACCAACUUAACCAAAUUAAUCAAUGCUAUAUCUGAGACAGGCUGGAUAUUGUGGUUGAAGUGUCCCUUUGAGGUCUUUGAGGCAAAAGGUUUCUCCAAGUUGUGUAAGGUCAUGAAAGUUGUUCAGCUGUGGCUUUAGGUUCACUGUAUUUAGCAUUUUCAUCUGAGAAGUUGUCUGAAGAAUUGAGAACUUAGAUUU
rnacentral:lncRNA from 1 species